AAGAGACAGCAGUAGCCGCGGGAAAACGGAGGGUGCAAGCGUUAUCCGGAUUUAUUGGGUUUAAAGGGUCCGUAGGCGGAUCUGUAAGUCAGUGGUGAAAUCUCACAGCUUAACUGUGAAACUGCCAUUGAUACUGCAGGUCUUGAGUAAAUUUGAAGUGGCUGGAAUAAGUAGUGUAGCGGUGAAAUGCAUAGAUAUUACUUAGAACACCAAUUGCGAAGGCAGGUCACUAAGAUUUAACUGACGCUGAUGGACGAAAGCGUGGGGAGCGAACAGGAUUAGAUACCCCCGUAGUCCCUGUCUCUUAUAC
rnacentral:rRNA from 1 species